rnacentral:rRNA from 1 species
AUGUCGGGUGCUGGAACCAGUUAUUUUUUUUGCUGGAACUUGCUACUUUUUGCUACAUGUACUUUUUUUUUGAAUUUUGCUUCCUGUGAUUUUUGCUGGAACCAAACGUGCAUCGACACCGACGUGUUUUUUUGCUGGAACCAGCUUUAUAUUUUGCUGGAACUUGCCACAUUUUUUGCUACAUCGGCUUCUUCAUUUGGUGGUUAUGAGUGGUGUUUUGCUACAACCAGCGACUACAAAAGAUACAACCAGUCAGCUUUUUUGCUACGAUGGGGACAGGGUGGCGGCACCGGCGAGCUAUUUUUGCUGGAUCCACACACUCUUUUUGCUACAACGGGCGCCUCAUUUUGCUACAACCAUGACGCCGGUGCGAAGAGCGGAUUACGUGGGCACUUUUUAGCUGCAACCACAUAG